GACGAACGCUGGCGGCGUGCCUAAUACAUGCCAGUAGAACGCACAGUUUAUACCGUAGCUUGCUACACCAUAGACUGUGAGUUGCAAACGGGUGAGUAACGCGUAGGUAACCUGCCUGGUAGCGGGGGAUAACUAUUGGAAACGAUAGCUAAUACCGCAUAAUAUUGAUUAUUGCAUGAUAAUUAAUUGAAAGGUGCAAUUGCACCACUACCAGAUGGACCUGCGUUGUAUUAGCUAGUAGGUGAGGUAACGGCUCACCUAGGCGACGAUACAUAGCCGACCUGAGAGGGUGAUCGGCCACACUGGGACUGAGACACGGCCCAGACUCCUACGGGAGGCAGCAGUAGGGAAUCUUCGGCAAUGGACGAAAGUCUGACCGAGCAACGCCGCGUGAGUGAAGAAGGUUUUCGGAUCGUAAAGCUCUGUUGUAAGAGAAGAACGGGUGUGAGAGUGGAAAGUUCACACUGUGACGGUAUCUUACCAGAAAGGGACGGCUAACUACGUG
rnacentral:rRNA from 1 species